rnacentral:lncRNA from 10 species
GGUAACCUGAUGCGGAGUUUUAAAGGGGAAGAGUGGAAGCAGGAAGACUAAGAGACUACAAAGAUAUUCUUGGUGAGAGUGAUGGAAGCUUUGAAAGAGGGUGAGUGAUGGAGGUGGUGAGAGACGUUAAGAUUUGAGAUAUUACUUCCAUAUAGAGCCAAGACUUUUUGUUAGAUGUGGGGUCGCUGGAGAGCAGUGGCGCAAUCUCGGCUCACUGCAACCUCCGCUCUUGGGUUCACGCCAUUCUCCUGCCUCAGUCUCCCGAGUAGCUGGGACUACAGCUGGGACUAUUAGCCCACCACCACGCCCGGCUAAUUUUUUUUGUAUUUUUAGUAGAGACGGGGUUUCACCGUGUUAGCCACGGUGGUCUCGAUCUUCUGACCUUGUGAUCCGCCCGCUUCGGCCUCCCAAAGUGCUGGGAUUACAGGCAUGAGCCACCGCGCCCGGCUGAGGGAUUUUAAGAUUAGGGAAAUGAUAACAUGUCUGUGCUCAUGGGAUGGUCCUGGUGAGAGGCAAAGUGAUGUGGGGAAAAGGGAGAGAAUUGCUGAGCAAUGUCCUUGAGUCCUUGAGAUCUAGUGAGAAGUGGAGCAGUUGUCUUAGAUAGGAACUCUACCAGUUCAUCCCCAGUAACAAAAGGAAGGCCUGGUGAUGGAGGUGGGUUCGGAGGUAGUUGGAAUUCUUUUCUGAUUGUUCUAAUUUUCUCAGUGGAAUAUCUAAGGUGAGCCAAGAGGAGAUUUGGAAGCCUGAGGAGUGAAGGAGUUGUCUGGGAAAGUGAGGGAAUGAAUGGACUGCAGACCACUGCACUCCAGCUUGGGCGACAGAGCAAGACUCCAUCUCCAAAUAAAUAAGUGAAUAAAUAAAUAAUAAAUAAAAAUUUAAAAAAGGAAGUGGGCAGUGGACCACAGGAUCUAAGCCAAAUCUGAGGGGUUGGAUCAUUGAUUUGGAGGUCCUAGUGGGGGUAAAGAAUUGUUGGAGUCCAUUCUCUCUAGGUAGCAGAGGCUCAACGGGCAGAGUUUAGCCCUGCCCAGUUCUCUGGUCCUAAGAAGAUCAACCUGAACCACUUGUUGAAUUUCACUUUUGAACCCCGUGGCCAGACGGGUCACUUUGAAGGCAGUGGACAUGGUAGCUGGGGAAAGAGGAACAAGUGGGGACAUAAGCCUUUUAACAAUUUUAAGCUAUUGUGGGAAAGAAGCAGAAAGGGAAUUGGUCUCGUUCUUUUUCUGUUCACCACUGCCCCGCCCUUCCUUUCUUUUACCCACUUUCCAGGUGGAUGUUUUUGGUACUUAAUAUAAUGCUUAAAUAACUUAGUAUCAUGAUAAGGUAGAAAACAUGUUUGGAAUUGGACCUAGAUUUGAAUCUUGUUUCGGCCUUUGACCUUAAGUAACUUAACAGCUUUGAGAUUUAGCCUCUCCUUUAUAAGGAAGAGGAAAGGUUUUUUUUUUUUUUUUUUUUUUUUUUUUUUUUUUUUUUUUUUUUUUUUUUUUUUUUUUUUUUUGAGAUGUAGUCUCGCUCUGCCACCCAGGCUAGAGUGCGGUGGCGUGAUCUCGGCUCACUGCAACCUCUGCCUCCCGGGUUUAAGUGAUUUUUUUGCCUCAGCCUCCCGAAUAGCUGGGACUACAGGUGCAUACCACCACCCCCGUCUAAUUUUUUUAUUUUUAUUUUUGAUAGAGACGGGGUUUCACCAUAUUGGCCAGGCUGGUCUCAAACUCCU